UUCACGAUGCGGCGCGCUUCACCGGCGUGUUUUUCGCGUGCGCGGGCGCGGGGUCGCUGAGCGCGGCGGUGCUGCUGUCGUCGGCGUGGGG
rnacentral:tRNA from 1 species